rnacentral:rRNA from 1 species
UACGUAGGGGGCAAGCGUUGUCCGGAAUCAUUGGGCGUAAAGCGCGUGUAGGCGGCCUUGUAAGUCCGUUCUGAAAGCCCGGGGCUCAACCCCGGGAGGCGGAUGGAUACUGCAAGGCUCGAGUCCGGAAGAGGCGAGUGGAAUUCCCGGUGUAGCGGUGAAAUGCGCAGAUAUCGGGAGGAACACCAAUGGCGAAGGCAGCUCGCUGGGACGUUACUGACGCUGAGGAGCGAAAGCGUGGGGAGCGAACAGG